GAUGAACGCUGGCGGCGUGCCUAAUACAUGCAAGUCGAGCGAACAGAUGAGGAGCUUGCUCCUCUGACGUUAGCGGCGGACGGGUGAGUAACACGUGGAUAACCUACCUAUAAGACUGGGAUAACUUCGGGAAACCGGAGCUAAUACCGGAUAAUAUAUUGAACCGCAUGGUUCAAUAGUGAAAGACGGUUUUGCUGUCACUUAUAGAAGGAUCCGCGCCGCAUUAGCUAGUUGGUAAGGUAACGGCUUACCAAGGCAACGAUGCGUAGCCGACCUGAGAGGGUGAUCGGCCACACUGGAACUGAGACACGGUCCAGACUCCUACGGGAGGCAGCAGUAGGGAAUCUUCCGCAAUGGGCGAAAGCCUGACGGAGCAACGCCGCGUGAGUGAUGAAGGUCUUCGGAUCGUAAAACUCUGUUAUUAGGGAAGAACAAAUGUGUAAGUAACUAUGCACGUCUUGACGGUACCUAAUCAGAAAGCCACGGCUAACUACGUG
rnacentral:rRNA from 1 species